rnacentral:misc_RNA from 1 species
GAUGAAGAACGUAGCGAAUUGCGAUAAGUAAUGUGAAUUGCAGAAUUCAGUGAUCAUCGAAUCUUUGAACGCAUCUUGCGCUCUUUGGUAUUCCGAAGAGCAUGCCUGUUUGAGUGUCAUGAAACUCUCACCUCCAAUCUUUUUUAACUAGAAGGUUGGGGCGUGGACGUGAGUGCUGCUGGUGCCCUGGUUGCAUCGGCUCACUUGAAAUUCAUUAGCUGAAUCCUUUAAAGUAGGUUCUACUCGACGUGAUAAGAUCUCCGUCGAGGACAGUGCUUCGGCAUUGGCCAACGAUAAAGUUGAUACGCUUCUAAUUAGCGCAGACUUCGAGUGCUGGCAAUUUUGACAACUUGGCCUCAAAUCAGGUAGGACUACCCACUGAACUUAAGCAUAUCAAUAAGCGGAGGA